CUCACAGCAAGCCCAAAAGCGCGGCGAUUUUUUGGAGAGACUUCACGAUGGUUGACUGUAUGAUUGAGAUGGAGAACGGCAGUUACCUGGUGGACGGUCUCUGCGCAAACGAGAGUGAGGUGUGCAAUUACACCGACUGGGAGCACUCUACCUCGGUGGUUCCGGUGCUCUACAUGCUGGUUUUUGUCUUCGGACUGUCGGGAAAUGGAGUGGUCAUCUGCACGGUGUGGAGAUCUCGCACCAAGAGGAGAUCGGCUGACACCUACAUCGGGAACCUGGCGCUGGCGGACUUGGCCUUUGUGGUGACCCUACCUCUGUGGGCUGUGUACGCCGCUCUAGACUAUCACUGGCCCUUCGGCUGGUUGCUCUGUAAAGUCAGCAGCUACGUUGUGAUGAUCAACAUGUACGCCAGCGUCUUCUGCCUGACCUGCCUCAGCUUUGACCGGUACCUGGCCAUCGUGCACUCCCUGUCCAGCAACAAGCUGCGUUCCAGCCGCACUACACUGCUCUGCUUGGCUGCCAUCUGGGUCCUGGCGGGGCUGCUGGCCCUCCCUGCCUUACUCCUGCGGAAAACAGAGGAAAAGGAGAACAUAACCGUGUGCGCCAUGGACUAUACCUGGGUGGCGAGUGAAGACACCGAGCAUCUUUGGAUCGGGGGGCUCAGCCUUUUCGCUAGCUUCUUGGGCUUCAUCCUACCCUUCCUACUGAUGUCCACCUUCUACUGCGCCAUCGCCAACACCGUCACCAGGCAUUUCCAGAACGUCAAGAAAGAAGAGCAGAAGAAGAAGCGUCUGCUGAAGAUCAUCAGCGCCCUGGUGUUGGUUUUUGCCAUCUGCUGGCUUCCCUUCCACGUUAUCAAGACCCUCGAUGCCCUGUUCUGGCUGGAUGUCAUCUCCAACCACUGCUCGUUAGAUGUCUUCCUCCAGGUGGCCCACCCUUACGCCACUUGCCUUGCCUACAUCAACAGCUGUCUCAACCCGUUUCUCUACGCCUUCUUCGACCAGCGUUUCCGAUCCCAGUGUCUGUCCGUGCUGCGCUGCUCCAGGUUAAAGAAAGCUCUGCACGUCUCCAUCACCUCCAUCUCCACCAGCAUGAGCAACCCGACCAAAAGCGAGGCUCCCUCCUCCGCCACUAAGGUGUAGCGCCCUGCGGCAUCAGGGAGUCCAGACUACUCCCAAGUACUCUGCCCAUUCACUGCUUCCACUCGGUGACUCCGAUCUCCCCACCCAAACCGGGACAACUUCUUGGCCUGGAACCUGCAGCAGCUCCCCCACCCCUACCCGCCUCCCGGCUCUGUCCACUACACCGAGUGAAGUGAGGCAGUUCGGGGCGUGGGGGCCGUCGUUUUAGCGCUCCCAAGUGGAUCCCACCCGGCUGGUAGCCCCGAGCGGCGGUAUCUGAGGGUGGGGAGUGAAUGCAGAACUGUGCCCUUGCCUGAAGAAGCGACUGUUUGGGUAAACAUGUAUAUUUAUUUUGCUUUUGGCUACAGCUUGUGCUGAAAACCCGGAUGGAAAGCUGAGAUAUAUUUUAUAAAUAUAACCUGCUUUUGCUGGUUUACAAUUUAAUAAUGGCUGACAGAAACACAUGAAACCUUCACUGUGUAUUUUUCACUCAUGAUAAAUCAGGGAUCUAAGCGUUAAAGCGACCAGUGACUUUUAAAAAAAUAUAUCGUUCCUGCUUAUUAAUAUUUUGUGACACAAAUUCCUCGCCGUGGCUCUGUUCAUGUAACCUCGAGUCCUUGUACUUACACUGUUCGUCAUCUUUGCCUGUCGACACAACUAACCAAUGAUACCCGAGAUAGAUUAUCAGGGACAUACAAGUGACUUAAAAUUAAUCUGGGUUCUCAGUUUUCUGGAGGCUGGCUUCAGACAGUGUGCCGUCUAUUUGACUGGACGCGUGGAAACAGUACGCACAAAGCGCUCUGUGUUCCUGACGGCAGAUGCCAGUCUGGGCUGGGUGACCACACAUGCUGCUCCUGUAAAGCAAAUUAUGCAGUCAAACCUAACAAAGGAGAGAGCUACAGCUUUAAUGUUAGCAUCUGUAUAACCAGCUGUCAUCCCAAGCGUCCUGAAUAGCUCUAUUUUAUUUUGCUCUGCCGGGAACGCGACGGGCCGAACAGCCUCACCGAGCACACAAACUUGCGGCUCUCGCCUCGACAGAGUUUCACUGGUGCUCUGCAACCCGUUUAGUACCUCACCCUUGCUUCAAGUUGUAACCUGAAUUAAAAACAAAUGCUGGAAACGUGAGCCUAGUAAAAUAAGGGGGAAAAAACUAUUUUAAUAAUUUUGGUGCAGACUGAAAAGGAAACUCCUUUGUAGGAAUAGCUGAAAGAGUGAGGAAUCUCUGAUCACUCUUGUAUGCUCCUGUGUUACAAAGAGGCAGCUAAUUCCUUACAGCAGCAUAAUAUUUAAUCAGUGAGCCUUGAGCAUCUUUUAAAUUGAUUAAGUUCCACUCAAGUGGGGCGAAGUGGUUAGCACAACGCUUUACUAUACCAGUGACCCGGGUUCGAUUCCUGCCAUCGCCUGUAAGGAGUUUGGAGCUUCCCUCCACGACCCACGUGGGUUUCCUCUGGGUGCUCUGAAUGUAAUGGUUAAUUGGUCAUUGUAAAUUGUCCCGUGAUCAGGCCAGGGUUAAAUCGGGGGUCACUGGGCAGUGUGGUUCCAAGAGCCGGAAGGGCCUGUUCCACACUAUAUCUCAAUAAAAUAAAAUAAUAAAUUUUAAAAAUGCAACAGAUUGUUAAUGGAUCUGUAUCUUGUAAAUGUUUUUUUUUCUCUUAAUCUGCCUCCCACUUAAAUUUUGAGAGUUAAAGACAACAGCAUAGUUCUCAGGUAAAAUAAAAGCAGCUUGUCUGUUGCCAGCUUUGCUGGACCAGGUAUAUAGGAGCAGACACGAUGGGCCGAAUAGCCCAAUUCCGCUCCUAUAUCUUGUGGUCUUGUGUACCUGGCCGGAGAGAAUGCACACCCAAAGGUAAACAUUUGUACUUUAACAAUUGCAAGUGCUUUCAUUGGAGACCCUACUAACCAGGACAAAGUACACAAUUAACUGCCUGCUUGUGAUACUCUAUUUGCAUAUUUUGGUCAGAGUUAUAAUGGGGUUCAUUAUUUUAAUGAGAAGAUGAACUAUUUUCAUUUUGUAGUGCCUUCUAGAGCUUUUGUUGUUGCCAAAAUGUUUUGUUACUGCUGAGUUCUGUGGAAAGAACCUUUCACGUUUGGCUUAAUUAUGAGCACAGAAGAAUUUUUGAAUUGUGUACCAACUGCAAGUGUUGUGAUUGUAUGAGUUGGUGUGAUCAUUUAUAAGAACCGGUAAGAAACUGGAGAUUUCAUUUGCCAUAAUAUUUGAUAUGGCUACAUAUUGCUUUAUAUUUGUUUAAUAUCAAUUAUUUCUGGACUUUUAUAUCACUGUCUGACUGUGGAUCAGUUUGACAUCUUGUUACAUUUACAACAGUGUGUCUUAUUAUUGUAUAAUGCAUAUCUGUGUCUUCCUACAAAAUAAAGCUCUCCAAUUGGAGAAUAAAGCUUCAA